GAAGUGCGAUAAGUAAUGUGAAUUGCAGAAUUCAGUGAAUCAUCGAAUCUUUGAACGCACAUUGCGCCCGCCAGUAUUCUGGCGGGCAUGCCUGUUCGAGCGUCAUUACAACCCUCAGGCCCCCGGGCCUGGCGUUGGGGAUCGGCGGAAGCCCCCUGCGGGCACAACGCCGUCCCCCAAAUACAGUGGCGGUCCCGCCGCAGCUUCCAUUGCGUAGUAGCUAACACCUCGCAACUGGAGAGCGGCGCGGCCACGCCGUAAAACACCCAACUUCUGAAUGUUGACCUCGAAUCAGGUAGGAAUACCCGCUGAACUUAAGC
rnacentral:misc_RNA from 1 species